CAGUAGCCGCGGGAAUACAGAGGGUGCAAGCGUUAAUCGGAAUUACUGGGCGUAAAGCGCGCGUAGGUGGUUCGCCAAGUUGGAUGUGAAAUCCCCGGGCUCAACCUGGGAACUGCAUCCAAAACUGGCGAGCUAGAGUAUGGUAGAGGGAGGUGGAAUUUCCUGUGUAGCGGUGAAAUGCGUAGAGAUCGGAAGGAACAUCUGUGGCGAAGGCGACUAUCUGGGCCAACACUGACACUGAGGUGCGAAAGCGUGGGGAGCAAACAGGAUUAGAUACCCCCGUAGUCCCUGUCUCUUAUAC
rnacentral:rRNA from 1 species